UGCUUACUGUGGGUUUAUUCCAGCCACUUUAUAGUGGGGUCUCCACCCUUCACUCCAUAAGAUGCCUGGCUCCUCAAAUUUGACCUUGCAGUGUAAAGACCUCCGCAAUCCCCUGCUUUUUCUGUGGCUCCAUCCUGGGCCUUGCAGAAGAUAGGUAGGGUGCCCAGAGAAGCUGUAAUUUUCCUGAACAAUUUCAGGGGCUAAUUAAAGGUUUUCCUUGACUAAUCAGCUUACUGUUUAAUUAUCAUGGAACAGGCGGAGAAAUGUGGAAGACUCUGCUAGGGUCUCCCCAGAGUGUGGCAGGAGGAAACCAGGGUGGCCCUUGGUAGGCUUAGCAGGAUUUGGGGAUACCCUGCAUCUCCUAUGAGCCAGCCAGAGUCACUGUCCCUUUGUCACCUCCUCCAGUUAUUGUCUGCCUAGUGUUCUCACCUUGCUUCUUCUGGGGGACCUGGCUUAGAGGUUAGCACCCCUUGAAGCCUUUGCAGGUGCUGGCCUGUUGGAUAUCAGCCCCGCAGCUGCCUGUAACGUGGCUGCUCAUAGCCGCCCACCACAUCCUGAGUAGGACCCUGUGGGGAAUGCUUGCCUGGUCCUAGAAGCUGCUGGUCCUGAAGGGACAAGGGCUUUGGGAGUGGAACUCUGAGAAGAGGGCUGGUAGUGGGAGGAGGUGUAGACAGGUCCUUCUGGGAGAGGCUGCUGGCUGGCUGCUGGCUGGCUGCUGGACCCCAUGGGUCCUGGAAGUAUCUGGAGGGGGAAGGACCCAGAGAUGGCUGCACCAGGCAUGAUUUCAUUCCUUGCAUUCCUAAGCAAGGCCCAGACUUCUGGUGGCCCUAAGUGGGGGAGGGUGGCCUGGAGAGAGACCUCUGGACACUGGCCCUGCCCCUCCUUCUGCCCCACUGUCAGCCUCUCUCUGCCUUCCCCUGAGGUCUCAGGACUGACUGAGUUCCUGGCUUGUUCCUGGCUUGUCCCAUUACAUCAGCAGGAAGACUCACCAGGUUUAGGGGAUGCAGGGACCCAGACCCAUGCCAUUGAACACCACCCCUCACUAUAGAGGUUUUCAAAGUGCUUCUGGUGGCCUGAGGGAGAAAGUGGCAGGCACACUUGUAUUAGCUUUCAGGAUGUGUCAGGACCUCCCUGUACUUCAGCACAGUCCGGGGAGGCAGGACUGUUACUUGCAUUCACAGACAGGGCGGUGGAGGGCCAUGGUAGAUUUCUAUGCCGCCUCUGCUCUAGGUUUCCAUCCCUAAGCCAUCCAGAAGACUGAGCAAUACUCUGCACACACUUACACACGACCACACAUGCACAUGCAUAUUGCUGUGGCCCACCCCCUAUCUUGCCCAUGUGUGCCUUUCCCAUCUCUGGCAGAAGUUUCUCCUGGGAGGCUGGAGGGGAUAUGUCUGCAGGCCCAGGACAUUGUUCCCAUGGGAAGGAUGCUGACGUCACUGGGCCUGCUUCCCACCCUGCCCUCACUCCUGGGACUGAGGGAUGCAGUGUCUUAGGGUUGCUGUGUCACCUGCAGCCUCUAACCACUCUGUGGGCUCAUGUCUGGUCACCACUGCCAGCUAUAGUUCUGACUGUUCGGGUUUGCACUGUCUGCUGACCCUAGCUUGGUGCCAGCAAGGGCUUGUGUUAAAGAUGUGAAUAUCACAUUGUAAGAGCGUGCCUUAUUUUAAUCCCCGACAGCUCUGGCUGUGCCUCCUCCACCUCCUCCAGGACUGCUUCCUCUCUUUCUCUGGAUAAGGCCUGGGCUCAGAUGUCCCAGUGCCCACAUGUGGCAAUGGGGUUAUGACUGGCUCCCUGCCAGGGAGGCUGGGGAAUUGAGUGAGUUAGCAUGUGUAUGUGCAGCCUGGAAUGGCUGUUGCUGUGUCAUUAGGGGUCAUUAGUGUCCCCAUUGCUGUUGUUACAUUGUGGCCGGGGAGGGCCAUGCUCCCACAGAUUUCCUAUAAUCUGGGCAUCUACCUUCAUAAACAUGGGACAUAUGUUAUGCUUCCUACCUGCCCCAGGUCCCUGUCGCCACUUACAAUAGCUGCUAUCUGUGGUCCCGAUCCUUUUAAAACAAACUCUGAGCACUAUGUACUUUAGCCAGGAAGUUUUCAGAUUUGUCUCUUGACAUGAAUCCCAUAAUAGUCUCACACUUCCCAACUAAGUUCCAGUUGUCAUUCUGUCCAGUUUGGUCUAGACCAGGUCCAAGGCCUCUUGAGCCGCCUUCCAUCUCUACAUUGGCUCUCGUGCUCUCGCUCUCUCUCUCCCUCUUGCUUUCUCUCUCUCUCUCUCUCUCUCUCUCUCUCUCUCUCUCUCUCUCUCGUGUGUGUGUGUUUGUGUGUGUGUAUGUGUACAUGUGCACAAUUUUGAAGCUAUAGCUGUGGGUGAACAUCUGGGUUUAAUAGUUUAAUGACUUGAUGUUUGCACAACUGUCAAGUAAACUUUGAGGAUAAAAAUUUUUAAGGG
rnacentral:lncRNA from 1 species